GGGCCUGUAGCUCAGCUGGGAGAGCGCUAUCCUUGCACGGUAGAUGUCAGGGGUUCGAGUCCCCUCAGGUCCA
rnacentral:tRNA from 1 species